GAGUAUUAAAGCAAACUGAAAAUGAGAAAACGGAUACUGGCUUAAACUGUAGCAUUAGAAGACAGCUAAAUCUUUGAAUCCCUUGUUGUUUACCUGAUCCUCCAAACUCUUGCCUGAACAAAAGACAAAAGCAAUCCAAAGUGAGAAGAAUAAAGAAAAAGAAGAAAAAAGAAAAGACAAAAUAGAUACAGGCUUAAACUGUAGCAUUAGAAGACAAGCCUGCUCAUCCCUUCUCCUGGCUUUAGCCUCUACUGUUCUUAUCCUUGCUUUAACUAACAAUCUACUCCCCCAGUCUCCUACAUGCCUCAGGUCUUUCUCUGCAUUCCUGACUGCCAUCUGACCCUGCCAUUCUCUAUUUUCUUCCUCACCAUCCUGUCGCCUAACUUCUGCCGUUCUUCCUUUGUGUUCUUCGUUUCCACUGUUCCAUUUCUUUUUUUUUUUUUUUUUUUUUCCAAGAUGAGGUUCCCUCUGCUCUAAAUAUCUUUUCAAGCCAUCUCUCCUCGCCGAGUCCUUCUAUCUUCCUAAGUAAAUUAAGUUUUCCUUUCUCAACCCUGUCCCUGAAUGUGCUUCAUCACAUCUCACCUCAGAUUGCCUCUACUGCUGUACUGUUUGGGACCCCUAAACUCCACCUGCUUGUAAUGUUCGUGAUCUCUCUAACUUCAUGAGAUCUCCCUCCCGGUAAUGACACCGCCGUGUGCACAGCGCCUCGCCUCCCGCUCCUCCAACCCAGCGCACUGGUCACCAAAUUGGUAUUGCAAGGUUUCUGAGUGAUAAAGUGGGUCUACCUGUCACAUGAGUUACUCCAGAAAUGUUUCAAAGUUUAUAAGUAGGUUUUACAAGGGUUAUAAGUGGGUAUUACAAAAUCUUAGUGGUAUUAGUAGUACUAGUGGUAUUAGCUACAGAGGCAAGACGAGGUGUGAAGUGGUUGUACCUGUCAUGGCAGCCACUACAGGGUUAUUACAAGGUCAAUAAGUGUGCUAUACAAGGGUUAAGUAGUUUUACUCGCAAUAUUUCCCGACCAAUCAAAGGCUACAACGAAGCUGCCAAGUGGUUCUGUCUGUCAUUAGCCACAACAGGCAUUUCAGACUGGUUGUGGUUCCAGCUGCUGCAUUACAAGGUUAACAUAACAGCGUAGGCAAUGGUCGGUAUUACAGCCGUCAUGUUGGUCACCACAGAGAUAUUGCAAGAUAUAUACGUGGUUGAGUGGUGCUGUAUUAGUCAGGGGAAGUGGGGAUGUGUUUAACGAAGCUUUUAAGUGGUUUCACCUGUCAGGUUAGCCGCCACAGAUGUAAUUUACACUGUGGUUAAGUAAUUACAUCUGCCGUAUCAGUUAUCACAGGUAUUUGAAGGUUUAUAAGCAAUUACACUCGUCAUACUAAUGAUGAGCUCAGGUGUUACGAGGUUCAUGAGUGACAAGAUGGUUCCCUCUGCCUCGCCAGACUCGCAGCACCCACCCCGCCUCUCUGCUUCAGUCACCAGCCUGCCCCUCCCUCCCUCCUUGCCUUCCUCCCACCCCCUGGACAGGCAGCGUGCAGGCUUGGUAGACACAGAUGAAGCAUUCUUUCCCCAGCACUUGCCUUCACACCCACGGCCACGCGCCCCUCCGUCACAGCGUUAACCACCCAACAAGCACCGCAUCACAGCCAGGCGGGGUACAACUGCCAUCAUGAUAGUUUGCAUCAACGACCCAACAAUACCCAAUUAUCUGCCACUACAGACGAGUAAUGUGUGCGUGGCUUCAUUAUCUUGUACACAGAGAGAGAGAGAGAGAGAGAGAGAGAGAGAGAGAGAGAGAGAGAGAGAGAGAGAGAGAGAGAGAGAGUUUGUUAAUUUAUUGCGCCAGUCUACAGAAAACACCAUACAAAACUACUCCUGACAGUAUAAAUUGAUAAUUCAGAUAAUGACAUGAUGAAGGCAAGCAGGUUAUGGUCUGGCAGCGUAUCAAAGGGAGUGACAGCAGACAUAAAUGAAUCAACAGUGCUGGUUUGGCUUGUUAACUACCUGUCAUGAAUUAACGGUGCUACUUCGGCUUGUUAACUACCUGUCAUGAAUUAACGGUGCUAGUUUGGCUUGUUAACUACCUGUCAUGAAUUAACGGUGCUAGUUUGGCUUGUUAACUACCUGUCAUGAAUUAACGGUGCUAGUUUGACUUGUUAACUACCUGUCAUGAAUUAACGGUGCUAGUUUGGCUUGUUAACUACCUGUCAUGAAUUAACGGUGCUGGUUUGGCUUGUUAACUACCUGUCAUGAAUCAUCUUUGGUAUGUGAUCUACACUUAAUAUUGCGAUCUGUGUGUUAUGAAUCUUUUGUAUGCAAUGUACACUUUAUAUUGUGAUCUACAACAAGAAAGGUUGUACUCAUCAAGAACAAGGAAAACACUUGUUCUGGUUUGGAGAGAAAAUGUCUGGUUAGAGUCUGACGCAGGAGUGGAAUGUCUGUUGUAGCGUCGAAGUUCCAAGAAGAGACCGUGAGACACUUCACCCAGUCAUUCAGAGAGAAGUCGCUGAAGGCUCAGUAAUCCAUUCCAAUGACUCGCCAGCUUACUCUAAUUUAAACCAACUCAAAUUUCAUCAUUUUUCCGUAAAUCAUCAUCAAUAUUACGGCGAUUCUAACAUCGGAGGUCGUACUCAAGGAACUGAAAGAUCCUGGCUUGAUGCGAAGAUUCGUAUAUUGAAAAUAAUGUGAGGCAUCGAUCAAAGAACAUUUCAGUCACCGAGACUACUUGUGUUGGCGGAUGAUGACAAAACAAGCUCCUGACGUCUAUGUAGCAUGUUUAGCCCAUGUACUGUACGUGCUGCUCAUCGCUACAAUAUGAAGACAAGAAAAAAAUAAUUACAUUUUCUCUCUAUGCUAUAUAUCAUUCCAGAAUAAAUAUUUGUACAGUG